rnacentral:lncRNA from 1 species
GAGUCACUUCUCUCCAAGAAGCAUCUGGGCUGAUGUGAGCUGAGACCACAACAGCUUUAAGAAUGAGUCCGAGCCUGGGAAGCUGCACUUUUUACCUAUUUCAUUACCGAGACGUUUGCACAAAGAACUUCACAGCAAGACGGUGGUGCUUUUGUGACAUGUAGUAAGGCGUUCUGACUGCCAUCGGCUAAGCCCGCAUGAGCGAGAUGGAGUGGCCAGUGGCGUCCUUGGCACCCAGGGUCCCCUGCCAAUAUGAUUAAAUAACAUCCACGUGAUCCAACUGGAGGCUCCUGGGCGUGUGACCAGACGGGGCUGCAGCAUAGAGGAUCAAAGCCCAGAAGCCACAGGACACUUGCACCAGUGACAUCAGGAGGCACCUGCUGGUGUUUUGACCUUUCCACAGAAGAACACAAAAUAAACUCCCGAGUUUCUCCAAGUGGUUGUGGGUCUCCAAGACAGUCCCAGGUUCUUGCUGCCCGGUGGUCACACUGCUUCUGUGUCCUGUGUGACUGAGAGGAGGCUGAGAUAAAGUGAUCACGAGCUCCUCCAGGGCUGCACCGAGGAUGCACCGAGGAUGCACGUCUCCCACUUUGUGGAUCCCAGGCCCAUCGCAGCCUUCCCAUAACAUCACCCUGGCUGACACCUGCACUGUGACCUCCGUUGUAAGAAGCAGGACCAAAACCACCCUAGCCCCCACACUACAGCUAGCAUCACUAGAUAGAGUGGGAUGCGCUGUGGUUUUGAUCCAGUGGCUCCGAGAGCCUCAUGUGUUUGCAUGGCAAUCAGAUACCCCCAGGAGGGGGCCCUACUGGGCAUGCAGUGAAUGCACUGUUAGGGGCGGUGUCUGGCGGAAGAGGAACAUCAUGGGCGCCGUGACCCGGAAGCGUUUAUCUCCCUUCUGCCUCCUCCCUUCUCCACUUCCGUGACCCGGAAGGGUUUAUCUCCCUUCUGCCUCCUCCCUUCUCCACUUCCUGACUGCAGUGCCUGAGCAGCUCUCUUCUCCCCCAGGCCCUUCCUCCAUGCAUUUCAGUAUUUGAGCCAACCAUGGACUGAAUCGUCUAAAACCGUGAGCCCAAAAUAAACCUCUUUUAACUGUGGGUGUCAGGUAUUCUAGCCCAGUGACAAGAAAGUGACCAAGACAGUAUGUUUCAAAGAUGUAACUAAAAGCUAAUUUAGAGGCUAAACUUAGAACCAGCUAAGAUGCCCUCCAAUAGGUAAAUGAACAAAUAAACUCUGCUAACCAUGGAACGUUACUUAGCAAUGACAAGAAAUGAGCCAGCAAGCCAUGAAAACACACAGAGGAAACCAAAAUGCACAUUAAUAAGUGAUCGAAGCCAGUCUGAAAAGCUUGCAUACUAUGACGCCAACUCCACGACACACCAGGAAGGCAACACUCAGCCCAAGGAGUUGAAUAGAUGAGAGCAUAGGAUAUUCGGGGGAGAGACAUUAUUGUGGGGACACCAGGAUGGUGGAGACUUGUCGGUAUUUGUUUGUUCAAACCCACAGAAUGUGCAACGCACCAAGAGUAAAUCCCAGAGCAAACCCCGGCCCUAGGUGGUGCUGAUACCUCAGUACUGGUUCCUCACCGUGACAAACGCACACAUUUAC